rfam:Crassostrea gigas strain 05x7-T-G4-1.051#20 contig4952, whole genome shotgun sequence.
GUCUCAAUAGCUCAGUGGUUAGAGGGCUGGCACGGUACGCCAGAGGCCCUGGGUUCGAUUCCCGGUUGAGACU